CAGGAGAGAGGCUGGGACGGGGGCGAUGCUGAUGACCUCCGUGGGCACCCAGACUUCAGGAAAUAGCAUCUCAUCCAACUUUUCAUUCAAGGUGAGCUUGAGACCCUGGGGAAUUCUGAAGAUGACCCCAACGAGAACAGAAAGAAGACUCGUGUCCAGAAAAUCGUCUUGCUUGUCUUCUCUCUGGUGUUUAUAAUAACAGUGACAGUGGCCAUACCUUUAAUAGUGCUAAACCAGGAAUCUCUCACAGCCUCUUUCCUAUGCCCGGACAAGUGGGUCAGAUACCUGGGAGAAUGCUUCUUCUUCUCUGACAAAACAGCCAGCUGGGAAGAAAGCCAGAGGUUCUGUGUCUCCAAGGGAGCCACCCUCGCGGUCUUCGACAGCCCCUACACACUGAACUUCCUCCAGUCCCAUUCAAGUUUUUCUCAGUACUGGAUUGGCCUGAGGCGGGAGCCAGGAUGCAUGUGGCGCUGGGUGGACGGAACUCUACCCCCUUCCUGGCUUAAGCUGACCAGGCUUGGAAUAUACGCAUACCUGCACCGAACUGGAGUGGACCCUGCCAUCAUUUUACACCCCAAAAAAUGGAUUUGCAGCAAAUCACUCUGGGCCCCUCCAAGGAGUAAACCCAUCGCAACGGGGGGCGGGUGCAGCCUGCAUCCUCUACAGCCUUGCUCCCCGUGUGAAAAAUAUAUAUUACAUUAAUAUACGUUGGUAGGAAAUACAUGGGAAUAUAACAUGAAUGUUAACAUGGAGGCAAGGGCAUGACAUUCAUGCAGAAAGGUGUUCGCUGUUUCCCAUCAAUUCUUGGAAUUCAAGAUGGCUGUGUCAUAUACACAUGCGUGUAUCAUACGCAUUCUAUAUGGAAUGUAUGUAAGCACACAGCGUAUGUGGGAGUGUGUGUGUACCAUAUAUCAUAUGGAAAUAAGAAUACUGGGUCUUGUUCCCACAGCCAUGGUGGUGCCUUGCUGGGUGGAGGUAGCUUUUCACCCAGCUCUGAGAAGCCCAGAGGUAAGACUGGCCAUUCUUUGAAUUGCAAAUGUCCUGCUAUUUAGCUCCAGGAAAGCUUUGCUUCUGAGAAGGCUCUUCCUUGAUUUUCCUUAAAUGGUCUGAUCUGCUUGCCCGAGUAUUUCCCUAUUUAGUUUUCUUUGCUGGCCCUUGAGUAUUUCCCCUCUAUGGUCUGCUUUGGUUAAGGCUUCAGCUCCAUGCCUAACACGUGGUUUUAGCUUCGUGCAAGUUAUGUUGUGGGCUGCAGGUCUUUGAGACGAGUCUCCCUGCAGACGCUGGCUCUUCAGUAAAGACUCCCAGUUCGAC